rnacentral:rRNA from 1 species
UUUGUCCCGGUCUAAGCAACAAGCCGUUGACGGUGGCAGGCAAAUCCACCACCGGAGGUAAGUUGUUACAGCGAGUGGAGCUACGGCGAAGCGAAGCGGACGUAAUCACGGUGCCGGGAAAUACUGUCUAAGGCUAGGUUAUAGAAGACCGUACCGUAAUCCGACACAGGUAGGUGGGAUGAGAAAUCUAAGGCGCUCGAGAGAACUCGCGUUAAGGAACUCGGCAAAAUGCACACGUAACUUCGGAAGAAGUGUGGCCCCUGUUUGGUUAAAGAGUGGGGGUGGCACAGAGCAGGCCCAGGCGACUGUUUAUCAAAAACACAGCCAUCUGCGAAUCAGCAAUGAGACGUAUAGGUGGUGACACCUGCCCGGUGCUGGAAGGUUAAGAGGAGCGGUUCGAGGUAACUCAAAGCUGUGAAUCGAAGCCCCAGUAAACGGCGGCCGUAACUAUAACGGUCCUAAGGUAGCGAAAUUCCUUGUCGGGUAAGUUCCGACCCGCACGAAUGGUGUAACGAUUCUGGGCACUGUCUCAACGCGAGACUCGGUGAAAUUUAUAUACCGGUAAAGAAGCCGGUUACCCACAGUUAGACGGAAAGACCCCGUGAACCUUCACCGUAACUUAUUAUUGGAUCUUGGUGUAGCAUGUGUAGCAUAGGUGGGAGACUACGAGACGUGGCCGUUAGGUUGCGUGGAGUCGACCAGUGAAAUACCACCCUUGCUACAUCAGGUUUCUAACCUAAUCCGUGAAUCCGGGUUGGGGACAAUGAUAGGUGGGCGGUUUGACUGGGGCGGUCGCCUCCUAAAGAGUAACGGAGGUGCGCGAAGGUCUCCUCGCGCUGGUUGGAAAUCAGCGUACGAGUGUAAAGGCACAAGGAGGCUUGACUGCGAGACUGACAGGUCGAGCAGGUACGAAAGUAGGUCUUAGUGAUCUGGCGGUAGCGAGUGGAAGCGCCGUCACUUAACGGACAAAAGGUACUCCCGGAUAACAGGCUGAUUUUCCCCAAGAGUUCACAUCGACGGGGAAGUUUGGCACCUCGAUGUCGGCUCAUCGCAUCCUGGGGCUGAAGCAGGUCCCAAGGGUUUGGCUGUUCGCCAAUUAAAGCGGUACGUGAGCUGGGUUCAGAACGUCGCGAGACAGUUCGGUCCCUAUCUGCUGUGGGUGUUGGAUGAUUGAGAGGAGCUGCAUUUAGUACGAGAGGACCGAUGUGGACGAACCUCUGGUGUACCUGUUGUUCUGCCAAGAGCAAGUGCAGGGUAGCUAAGUUCGGAAGGGAUAACCGCUGAAGGCAUCUAAGUGGGAAGCCCACCUCAAGAUAAAUCAUCCCUGGGGGUUCGACCCCCCUAAAGACUCCAGAGAGACUAUCUGGUUGAUAGGCUGCAGGUCUACGCACGGUAACGUGUUCAGCCGAGCAGUACUAAUAGGUCGUGAGGCUUGACC